rnacentral:rRNA from 1 species
CAAGCGUUGUUCGGAAUUACUGGGCGUAAAGGGCGCGUAGGCGGCCUGCUAAGUCGGAUGUGAAAUCCCUCGGCUCAACCGAGGAACUGCAUCCGAUACUGGCGGGCUUGAAUCCGGGAGAGGGAUGUGGAAUUCCAGGUGUAGCGGUGAAAUGCGUAGAUAUCUGGAGGAACACCGGUGGCGAAGGCGGCAUCCUGGACCGGUAUUGACGCUGAGGCGCGAAAGCUAGGGGAGCAAACGGG